rnacentral:rRNA from 1 species
UACAGAGGUCUCAAGCGUUGUUCGGAUUCAUUGGGCGUAAAGGGUGCGUAGGCGGCGCGGUAAGUCGGGUGUGAAAUCUUGGAGCUUAACUCCGAAACUGCAUUCGAUACUGCCGUGCUUGAGGACUGGAGAGGAGACUGGAAUUUACGGUGUAGCGGUGAAAUGCGUAGAUAUCGUAAGGAAGUCCAGUGGCGAAGGCGGGUCUCUGGACAGUUCCUGACGCUGAGGCACGAAGGCCAGGGGAGCAAACGGG